rnacentral:rRNA from 1 species
CUGGCUCAGAAUAAACGCUGGCGGCGUGUCUUAAGCAUGCAAGUCGAACGGCAAGGUACCUUCGGGUACCCUAGAGUGGCGGACUGGUGAGUAACACGUAGGUGACGUACCUUUGGACGGGGAUAGCCCGUAGAAAUACGGGAUAAUACCGGAUAAGGUUGCACGGGUUGGAGCCGUGCAAGGAAAGGCGCUACGGCGUCGCCGAAAGAACGGCCUGCGACCUAUCAGCUUGUUGGUGAGGUAAAGGCCCACCAAGGCAAUGACAGGUAUCCGGCCUGAGAGGGUGAUCGGACACAUUGGGACUGAGAUACGGCCCAGACUCCUACGGGAGGCAGCAGCUAAGAAUAUUCCGCAAUGGACGAAAGUCUGACGGAGCAACGCCGCGUGGAAUGAUGAAGGCCGGAAGGUUGUAAAAUCCUUUUAUAAUUGAGGAAUAAGCCGGGUAGGGAAUGACCUGGUGGUGACUGUAGAUUAUGAAUAAGCACCGGCUAAUUACGUGCCAGCCGCCGC